GGUCGAGGAGUCCUGCGCCGAUAAUGAACGGGACUAAGCGUGAUACCGAAGCGGCGGGUAGUAGCAAUACUACGGUAGGAGAGCGUCGCACCAGCCUGCGAAGGGGUACGGAUAACGAGCCCUGGAGGUAGUGCGAGUGAUCAUGCCGGAACGAGUAACGAUAAAACGGGUGAGAAUCCCGUUCGCCGAAAGCCUAAGGUUUCCUGGGGAAGGUAAAUCCGCCCAGGGUUAGUCGGACCCUAAGACGAGGCCGAAAGGCGUAGUCGAUGGACGGCAGGUUAAUAUUCCUGCACCACGGGCGAAGGUUCGAUGGCAGCGGCGCGCUGGCCGGAAGGGGAUCCGCACCAAUUAGAUGGUCGGCCCGCAAGGGGGAGGGCGUUUACGAUCCCGAACUCCCUAGAAGGACAGCCAAGAAAAACCGCCUGUCUACAACGUUCGUGUCCGUACUAAAACUGACACAGGUAGGCGAGAUGAAUAUUCUCAGGCGCUCGAGAUAACGCUGGUAAAGGAACUCGGCAACAUAACCCCGUAACUUCGGGAUAAGGGGUGCCCUUUGGGGUGUCAAAGCCCCGGGGGGCCGCAGUGAAAGGGCUCUAGCGACUGUUUACUAAAAACACAGGUCUGUGCUAACGCGUAAGCGGACGUAUACAGACUGACGCCUGCCCGGUGUCGGUAAGUUAAGGAAGAGGGUUAGCCGCAAGGCGAAGCUCGCAACCGAAGCUCCGAUAAACGGCGGCCGUAACUAUGACGGUCCUAAGGUAGCGAAGUUCCUUGUCGGGUAAGUUCCGACCUGCAUGAAUGGCGUAACGACUGGAGCACUGUCUCUACCAGCGACUCGGUGAAACUGUAGUUGUUGUGAAGAUGCAACAUACCCGCAACUAGACGGAAAGACCCCGUGAACCUUAACUGUAGGAUAGUAUUGGGCUUAGGCCCAGCAUGCGUAGUGUAGCUGGGAGGCUAUGAACCGGGCGUUCCGGCGCCUGGGGAGCCGUCGCUGAAACACCAGCCUUGUUGUGCUUGAGUUCUAACUCCGUCCCGUGAAUCCGGGCGGUGGACAGUGCUAUCUGGGCAGUUUGACUGGGGCGGUCUCCUCCUAAAAGGUAACGGAGGAGUUCAAAGGUACCCUCAGCCUGGUUGGCAAUCAGGCUUCGAGCGCAAAGGUAAAAGGGUGCUUGACUGCGAGACCCAUCGGUCGAGCAGGGCGGAAACGCGGACUUAGUGAUCCGGCGGUGCUGGAUGGAAAGGCCGUCGCUCAACAGAUAAAAGGUACUCCGGGGAUAACAGGCUUAUCUCCUCUGAGCGUUCACAGCGGCGAGGAGGUUUGGCACCUUAAUACAUCGGGGUGCUACGGAAGUGAUUCCGUACCAACAAAUCGGCUUAUAACGGUGGACCCGUCCGUGGUGUUGUGAAAUCCUGUCACCCAGGAUUAGCCACGCGGCAAUACCGUGGGAAGUCUUCGUCUGGAUUGCAGGGGUUAGGUCCCGUUCACUUGGACAGAGAUUCUCUCUUUCCAUCUGCAAUCGUCGCUCUAACUUCUGAAAUCUGCGCGAAUGACCCCGUAACGACUGACCCGAAAGGGGAGGCUUCAGGCGUCUGCCUGGGGCAACACGCCGACUCUUGUCAUUUCCAUAGCGAGGCUAUGCCUAGCGGCUAAGGCCCGCGACAAGAUGAUGAUAUAGUCUACGCCACGCGAAAUCGUGGAUCCAAGUACGAUGUCGGCUCAUCGCAUCCUGGGGCUGGAGAAGGUCCCAAGGGUUUGGCUGUUCGCCAAUGAAAGCGGUACGUGAGCUGGGUUUAGACCGUCGUGAGACAGGUCGGUCCCUAUCUGUUGUGGGCGUAGGAGACUUGAGGGGUUUUCUCCCUAGUACGAGAGGAUUGGGAGGGACGUACCUCUGGUGUGCCAGUUGUCGCGCUAGCGGCAGCGCUGGGUAGCUACGUACGGCUAGGAUAAACGCUGAAGGCAUCUAAGCGUGAAACCCUCCCCAAGAUUAAGUCUCCUGUCCUUCGGGACGAAGGCUCCUGGAAGACUACCAGGUCGAUAGGCCGGGGGUGUAAGGCCCGUAAGGGUCUCAGCUGACCGGUACUAACAGCCGAACGCUUGGCCGC
rfam:Planctomycetaceae bacterium SCGC AG-212-F19 AG-212-F19.213, whole genome shotgun sequence.